AUGGAGAGUUUGAUCCUGGCUCAGGAUGAACGCUGGCGGCAUGCCUAAUACAUGCAAGUCGAACGAGGCAUCUUCGGAUGCCUAGUGGCGAACGGGUGAGUAACACGUAGGGAACCUGCCCAUGCGGCCGGGACAACUUCCGGAAACGGAUGCUGAUACCGGAUAAGGAAAGCGAAGGCAUCUUUGCUUUGUUAAAGGAGCUGCAAGGCUCCGCGCAUGGAUGGACCUGCGGUGCAUUAGCUGGUUGGUGAGGUAAAGGCUCACCAAGGCGACGAUGCAUAGCCGGCCUGAGAGGGCGAACGGCCACACUGGGACUGAGACACGGCCCAGACUCCUACGGGAGGCAGCAGUAGGGAAUUUUCGUCAAUGGGCGCAAGCCUGAACGAGCAAUGCCGCGUGAACGAGGAAGGUCUUCGGAUCGUAAAGUUCUGUUGAGAGGGAAAAAGGGUCACCAGAGGAAAUGCUGGUGAAGUGAUAUUACCUUUCGAGGAAGUCACGGCUAACUACGUGCCAGCAGCCGCGGUAAUACGUAGGUGGCGAGCGUUAUCCGGAAUGAUUGGGCGUAAAGGGUGCGUAGGCGGCCUGUUAAGUCUGAAGUGAAAGGUACCGGCUCAACCGGUACAGGCUUUGGAAACUGGCAGGCUGGAGGACAGGAGAGGGCGGUGGAACUCCAUGUGUAGCGGUAAAAUGCGUAGAUAUAUGGAAGAACACCAGUGGCGAAGGCGGCCGCCUGGCCUGUUACUGACGCUGAGGCACGAAAGCGUGGGGAGCAAAUAGGAUUAGAUACCCUAGUAGUCCACGCCGUAAACGAUGAGGACCAAGUGUUGGGGAAGACCCAGUGCUGCAGUUAACGCAGUGAGUCCUCCGCCUGGGGAGUAUGCACGCAAGUGUGAAACUCAAAGGAAUUGACGGGGGCCCGCACAAGCGGUGGAGUAUGUGGUUUAAUUCGAAGCAACGCGAAGAACCUUACCAGGCCUUGACAUAGGGUGCGAAGCUAUGGAGACAUAGUGGAGGCUAACAUCCAUACAGGUGGUGCAUGGUUGUCGUCAGCUCGUGUCGUGAGAUGUUCAGUUAAGUCUGGCAACGAGCGCAACCCUCGUGAUGUGUUACCAAUAUUGAGUUAGGGACUCACAUCAGACUGCCGGUGACAAACCGGAGGAAGGCGGGGAUGACGUCAAAUCAUCAUGCCCCUUAUGGCCUGGGCUACACACGUACUACAAUGGCGGCAACAAAGGGCAGCGAGGCAGCGAUGCCGAGCGAAUCCCAAAAAAGCCGUCCCAGUUCGGAUUGGAGUCUGCAACCCGACUCCAUGAAGUUGGAAUCGCUAGUAAUCGCGGAUCAGCAUGCCGCGGUGAAUACGUUCUCGGGCCUUGUACACACCGCCCGUCAAACCAUGGGAGUGGGCAAUGCCCGAAGCCGGUGGCGCAACCUGAAAAGGAGCGAGCCGUCGAAGGCAGGGCCGAUGACUGGGGUUAAGUCGUAACAAGGUAUCCCUACGGGAACGUGGGGAUGGAUCACCUCCUUU
rnacentral:rRNA from 1 species